rnacentral:misc_RNA from 1 species
GAAGUUGCCAAUCUCUUUAAUAGGUAUGAUACAUUUUUACUUAACAUUUUUAGGUUGAUUUUAGAUGUUAACUUUGAAUUUGAACAUGCUAAACACGUAAUGGAUAUUGUGUGGGUGAGGAACUAUGAAUAUGAACCUUAAGACUUUGGUAACUAAAUAAGGCUAUUAAUUUUCCCUGUUAGAAUCAAAGAGAAUUUUGCAGAGAGGAGUGUAUUUAGAUGGAUUGUUUUUGAUUCAUGAAAUAUACAAUGGAC